rnacentral:rRNA from 1 species
UACGGAGGGGGCAAGCGUUGUUCGGAUUUACUGGGCGUAAAGCGCGUGUAGGCGGUUUGGUAAGUUACUUGUGAAAUCUUGAGGCUUAACCUCAAGCGGUCAAGUAAUACUGCGGAACUAGAGUGCAGAAGGGGCAACUGGAAUUCUUGGUGUAGCGGUGAAAUGCGUAGAUAUCAAGAGGAACACCGGAGGCGAAGGCGGGUUGCUGGGCUGACACUGACGCUGAGACGCGAAAGCUAGGGGAGCAAACAGG